rnacentral:misc_RNA from 1 species
CAAAUCUGACUGUCUGUGUGGUGAAAUACCCAUGCAGACACAUAAGCACAAGGCCGCAAGGCCUUGAUGUUCACGCUUGUAUGUUUGACAGAGUUAUAUUGUGACUAAAAAAGA